rnacentral:lncRNA from 1 species
UGAGAGGUGCAUGAGUUCUUUUGGUUACCUAACCUCUUUAUGGACUUUGAUUAACUUACUUCUAUUUGGUUGCCGCAAAUAAUCUUUCUGUAUUGUACCACUCUGUACACUAUUUAAUAGAUUAUACAUUAUUAAACAUAUUAACAGAGACUACAUUAUUUACUAUAUUACUUUGUGAUAGUUUAGUUUCUAAUAUAUUUUAGGAUUUAACAAUAUUUAAAUUAUCCAACCUAACUGGAACUAUGUGAAGAUUUAUUGAACGUCAUCAUUUUGGACAGCCUGAGCAACUUGAACCUGGAUCAAGAUAGAGAAAAGAGUCAUGCAGUCAUGAUUCCACAAAUCUCAGCAUUAGUUUUGAGAUGCAGUGUGCGGAAUCAUACAUGUCUUUUGAGUGAGGUAGCUUGUUCUUAAGUGUCAGUGAGUUGUUUUAAAUAUGCUCACCAAGCAUAGAAAGGAUAUUGAUGAUAACCAGGCUCCCAGAUUCACAUACACUAUGCUUUUUCUGUAUAGUGAUAGGCUCUUGUACCAUUGGUGAGUUCCUGUCAUUUACUGAACUGUGUUCACAAAGCAAACUCAGUAUUCUCCUGAGCUCUUAACGGGCAGUGUGCAUAUGUUUGGGUCUUUUAUUUUAUCCCUAAGAAGAAGAGAAUUACUUAUUUAUAUUAUUGUCAUUGAUUUCUCCCACUGCUUUACUGAAUCAAAGCUACUUAGCUCAAGCCAACAGGAAACAGAGGCUGAUAUUUGACAUCAUUUCUUCUCAGUUCCCUGCAGCCAUGUGAGAUAGAAGAACCAUAUAAUAUGCCUCAUAUUAACCCCUCUUCAUUCUUCUCACGGCUAGUUGUUGGCAGUGUUCUACUGCUGUGAAGAGAUACCAUGAUCACUGCAACUCUUAGGAGGGAAAGCAUUUACUUGGAGAUUACAGUUUGGGAGAUUUGGUUCAUUGUCAUGGCAGGAAGUAUGGCGGUGUGCAGGCAGACAUGGUGCUGUAGGAGCUGAGAGUUCUACAUCUGGAUCUACAUAUUGUAGAAAGAGAGAGACACUAGACCUGGACUGAGCAUGUGAAACCCCAACAUUCAUCCCUAGUGACACACUUUCUCCAUCAAGACCACACCUAUUCCAACAAGGCUACAUUUCCUGAUCCCUGUGAAAUAUAUCCACUCCCUAGUUACCAAGCAUUCAAAUAUAUAAGCCUAUGGAAGCUAUUCCUAUUAAAACCACCAUAUGGUCCUUCUUCUUUCCUGUCAUUUUUGCUAAGAACGGAGACAAACCCAGUCCAGAAUACUUAACUCUUCCACUCAGUGGGAAAUAUUGGUUCUUAAAGUCUUUUAAUGGUUAUCGCUCUCUUAGGGCUGUCUUCUGACCCCAUUUCUCUCAGAUUUUCCUGAUACAGAAAACAGAGUAGAAGUUUAUUCUGACAACUGCAUAGCAGUUGUUCCUAAACAUCUGUGGAGAGAAGAGGAAGAGAUGAUUCAUGGCCUUUGGUUAUUCAGCUUUGAGAAACAAAUCCACUGUGAUAGGAUUCCAUAGAAACCACUGAUAAGAGUUUAGAUUAGAAUUUACAAGCAGUUAAGUUGCCAAUACAGAUGUGGAGCUUUAAAACACCUUAUUGUUCUUUCUAGUGCAUCAUUUCCCAAUAAUCCAUACUUAGACAAAAAAUUUAAAUGCAUCUUGAUUUGAAGGCAAAAAUAACAAGAUAUGAUGACAGCAAUCCAAAUGAAUUAAAAAUGAAGAAAUGUUUAAAAAUGGGAUACUUUAUUUAAUAUUAGGGAAUACUACUUGGUUAUGUUUUAGAGUUUAUACAAGUGGCAAAGAAAGUAGAUUCAAUGGAUAUUUUUAGAUUUAUUUGUUUUUAUUUUAUGUGUAUGAGUGUUUUGUCUACAUGUCUUUUGUGAACCAUGCAUGUGUCUGAUGUCCACGUGGUCAGAAGAGGCAUCAGCUCCCUGGCAAUGGAGUUAUGGAUGAUUGUGUACUGCUGUCUGGGUGCUGGGAACUUAACCUAUAUCCACUGCAAGAGCAGCAAAUACUUUAACCACUGAACCAUCUUUCUUGUACUCAACAACUUUCAGUACCUUCCUAAUAAAAACAAUAGGAACAAUAGGAAGAAGUAUAAAUAGAACUUGCCAAUAAUCAUAUUUCCAUAUUGUGAAAUGAUUAAUAACUCCUGUUGACAUGUAAAUGCUUCUAGAUUGUUUACAUGCACUCAUGUUUCAAAACAAAGUUAUUAAUAUUUCUAAGAAUUAUGAAAUACCUCAGAAGAAAUUAUCUUUUUUUUCAUACUGCAUAGUAUACAUAAACAUUUUUCUUCUUAGUAAUUAAUUUUCCUUGUGGAUACUCUCUCUUUUAUAGCAUAGGAAUCUGCUGUGUAUUUGCUGUAAAUUAGCAAGAAAAACUGGCCAUAGGCAUGAUCAAUGGCAUAAUUAUCAACAUAAACGUUACCAUAAAAUACUUAAAGUGUAAAAGAUACACAUAGAGCAAUCCCC